CCUCAACCACCACAGUCUCCUACAUCACUGCUCUUUGUAACUAGUGUGAGCCAUGUUCAUCCUCCUAGCGCUGUGUCUAAUUCCAAGAGUUGCUUGUUUGGAGCAGCCUCGUGAUGUCAUGGUAACAGAAAAUGGGCCUGUGACUCUUCACUGCUCACAGAAGAACACCACCAACACAGUCAUGCUCUGGUAUCAACGAGGGACAGACAAAAACAAUCAAAAGACCCUCCUCAGACUGGUUCUAAGCUCAUAUGGACGUGGCAGUGAGGUGGAAGAGGGUUUCCAGUCUCAGGGCUUUAGUGGGGAGAGGAAGGCUUCAACCCUACUACUGAAUAUAAAGAAGUCCCAGCUGUCUCACAGUGCUGUUUACAUCUGCGCAAAGAUAUCUGCACAGUGAGAGUUCAGCCUGACAGGCUGUAACAAAAAGGACUAACUGAAGAACUGUACCAGUCACUGAAGAAGUCAAAAGGUCUUCUUAGUGCCUCUAGGGGGCUUUAGACACCAGAUUGCAGCUCUAAGGAGCACCUGAGAUGCACAUUCAGUCGAAGGAGAUGGCAGCAGUUGUGUUUUUCAUGCUGUUACUGCAAACUGGAUUUGCGUUGAAACAGAGUCCUAAUCUCAUUGUCAGAGAGGGCAUCAAUGUUACUCUCAGCUGCUCCCAAAUUAGUUCUACUUACAAUAGCAUGUACUGGUUCUGGCAGAAGCUGGGCA